rnacentral:rRNA from 1 species
GACGAACGCUGGCGGCGUGCUUAACACAUGCAAGACGAACGGAAAGGCCCUGCUUUUGUGGGGUGCUCGAGUGGCGAACGGGUGAGUAACACGUGAGUAACCUGCCCUUGACUUUGGGAUAACUUCAGGAAGCUGGGGCUAAUACCGGAUAGGAGCUCCUGCUGCAUGGUGGGGGUUGGAAAGUUUCGGCGGUUGGGGAUGGACUCGCGGCUUAUCAGCUUGUUGGUGGGGUAGUGGCUUACCAAGGCUUUGACGGGUAGCCGGCCUGAGAGGGUGACCGGCCACAUUGGGACUGAGAUACGGCCCAGACUCCUACGGGAGGCAGCAGUGGGGAAUAUUGCACAAUGGGCGGAAGCCUGAUGCAGCAACGCCGCGUGCGGGAUGACGGCCUUCGGGUUGUAAACCGCUUUCGCCUGUGACGAAGCGUGAGUGACGGUAAUGGGUAAAGAAGCACCGGCUAACUACGUG